rnacentral:lncRNA from 1 species
AGCCCGAUCGGGAGUGGCAAUGGGCGCCUCGAUGGAUCAGGAGCACAGCGGACACCCUGCCAGAUCUGGAGGGAUGGAAGUCAGCGGUGGGUCUGCGAAAGCGCAAACAGGAGUGGUGGACAGCAAGUGAAAGCUCACCUCGAGCCGUAAGGAACACGGAACAAAAGAGAGUGCAGUUGCAAGAUUUAAUAGAGUGAAGACAGAGCUCCCAUACAAAAAGAGAGGACCCAAAGAGGUCAUCAGUUAGAUGAAUAUGUAUUUGAAAGCUGUUCAUUCAUUGUGGAGAUGUGGGUAGACAGCAGUAAAUAUGCCCCAUGGCACUGAUUAACUCAAAGUGGCUCCAGGCCAAAGAUUUUAUGCUUCAGUGGAGAUAUUUUUGCCAGGAACCAUGUUUACCAGAGAUGUUUCCCAAGAUGGACAACAGACUGACCAUGUUGAUUCAGAACUAAGUACUAAUAAAAAGGAGUUUAAUAAGAAGUCUAAUAGAAAUCAAAUUGUAUUUAUCAACUUUAAUUCUAUUUUAAUGCACGAGUCCUAACAGCCAAACGACUAAUAUGCUGACAUUUCUUAAUUCAUUUUUUCUGACUGUGCUCCCAAAAGGUGUGUGAAAAUGCAGUUUAUAAAUUAAAACCUUAUACAUGU